rnacentral:rRNA from 1 species
UACGAAGGGGGCUAGCGUUGCUCGGAAUCACUGGGCGUAAAGGGUGCGUAGGCGGGUCUUUAAGUCAGGGGUGAAAUCCUGGAGCUCAACUCCAGAACUGCCUUUGAUACUGAAGAUCUUGAGUUCGGGAGAGGUGAGUGGAACUGCGAGUGUAGAGGUGAAAUUCGUAGAUAUUCGCAAGAACACCAGUGGCGAAGGCGGCUCACUGGACCGGCAUUGACGCUGAGGUGCGAAAGCGUGGGGAGCAAACAGGGAUUAAGAAACCCCGGU